UACGGAGGGAGCUAGCGUUGUUCGGAAUUACUGGGCGUAAAGCGCACGUAGGCGGCUUUGUAAGUUAGAGGUGAAAGCCCGGGGCUCAACCCCGGAAUUGCCUUUAAGACUGCAUCGCUUGAAUCCGGGAGAGGUGAGUGGAAUUCCGAGUGAUAGAGGUGAAAUUCGUAGAUAUUCGGAAGAACACCAGUGGCGAAGGCGGCUCACUGGACCGGGUAUUGACGCUGAAGGCACGAAAGCUAGGGGAGCAAACAGG
rnacentral:rRNA from 1 species